GGAUGCAGUGCAUUCAUGGUUGACGGUUGGCUGGAUGGAGUACAAAUUGUACGCGACUACUGCAGUGCUUACGUAGGGUUGUUUUCCAAAACAGGUGUCUCAACCUACAGUACCUGCUGCAAAGCUCCGGGUCUCUCUUGUAAGGUACACAAGGGCUCGUCAAGAAUUCAAAACAGACUGAUGACGAAAACCUGUCCCCGGGGAUCAGUGCUCACUGGUUGUGCAGGAUAUGAAAGUUUGGCGCAGCAGCGGGGAUCCUUUAUAAAAGAUGUCAGGGGAACCUCAAGAUGUCACGUGGAAGGCAAUAAUAGGAACACCGUUGUUUACUAUGUUUGUUGCCGAUCAAGACCGACCUAACUCAAGCUCCUGGUUCUGAGCUCUGAUAAUCUCCCAUACGGUUUUCGUUCUUAAAUAAGCGAGAGAGUAUACUUCAUUAAUGCAGGAAUGGCGUCUUUUUUCAAAUUGUAACCAGAGUUUAUCUUUAUUAAACUGCAUCUGCAAACG